AGCUUGAGGAAAAUGUUCACUCUUACUUAUGUGAGACUUGGGUAAGGUUGUGAAUAAAUAAUUGGAACUUGAAAUUGUGAAUACUGGAACUUGGAGGAAGCUGAUUAGUUAAGGUUUUGAGGGCUGUGUUCUUUAGAAAAAAUUAUCUUGGAAUAAUACUUGGGAAUCGGCUAAGAUGCAGGUCGAGAGGCAUCUCGUUAGGCGUCUGGGAUCUUGAAGCGGAG